rnacentral:rRNA from 1 species
AUGGAGCCUGCCAGUGCUAGCUUGGUCUCCCUGAGGGCAUCCACCGCCACGAGCCGCAGCUGUUUCUCAUGUCAGCAGCGAGCGACGCCCAGGACCAGGAUGCUUCCGGCCAUGGCGUCCAAGUCUGGGGCGAAACUGGUGGCUUCAGGCUGCAAGACAUGCAGGGGGAAGGGUGCAGUGGAAUGCGAAGGCUGCAAGGGGACUGGCAGGAACAAGAAGAACGGCAACAUCUUUGAGAGAUGGAAGUGCUUCGACUGCCAGGGGUUUGGGAUGAGGAAGUGCCCCACCUGCGGCAAGGGAGGCCUCACGCCGGAGCAGAGAGGAGAACGAUAG